CCGACCCCGGCGGCAGCGGCAGCGGCAGCGGCACGGCGAGCAGCAUUGUUCUAAAGUGGAGUUACGGCUCUUCCGUGCCUUGCCCUUCUAUGACAAGUGACAUAUUUUGGUACAGUCAUUGUGGACAGACCAGUGAUGGUGAUCUGCAGGGCUUUGGUGUGAUAGCAACGGUGGCAGCAGCUCUCCAAACACUGCGCUGUUGCUCUUCAUGGUGCUGGGAUCCCAGGAGGACUUCGGCUUAAGUUUUCUUUCUCCUCCCUUCCUUCCCGUCAAGGACACAGACUUUGGCUAUAUUUUUCAUAAUUGUGUGAAGCUAGAAACCUGACGGAUGCCUGUGCCACCUCCGCCACCUCCUCCUCCACCACCUCCA